UACAGAGUUCUCAAGCGUUGUUCGGAUUCAUUGGGCGUAAAGGGUGUGUAGGCGGCGCGGUAAGUCGGGUGUGAAAUCUUGGAGCUUAAUUCCGAAACUGCAUUCGAUACUGCCGUGCUUGAGGACUGGAGAGGAGACUGGAAUUUACGGUGUAGCGGUGAAAUGCGUAGAUAUCGUAAGGGAGACCAGUGGCGAAGGCGGGUCUCUGGACAGUUCCUGACGCUGAGGCACGAAGGCCAGGGGAGCAAACGGG
rnacentral:rRNA from 1 species